UCCGAGUUGACCCCGGCGGUCUCCUACGAGUCCCCGGCAUCACCCGCUGGCAACUAAGGACAAGGGUUGCGCUCGUUGCGCCACUUAACCCAACAUCUCACGACACGAGCUGACGACAGCCAUGCACCACCUGUGACGGUCCAGCCGAACUGACCCCGUGUUUCCACGGGUAUGACCGACAUGUCAAACCCAGGUAAGGUUCUUCGCGUUGCGUCGAAUUAAACCACAUGCUCCGCUGCUUGUGCGGGCCCCCGUCAAUUCAUUUGAGUUUUAACCUUGCGGCCGUACUCCCCAGGCGGUCAACUUAGUGCGUUAGCUGCGCCACUAAGGAUUCAAGAUCCCCAACGGCUAGUUGACAUCGUUUACGGCGUGGACUAC
rnacentral:misc_RNA from 1 species